GGCUAGUUUACAUUGUUUGUUGUAUUAUGAAAUAUGAUACCAUACUUGUAUUAAAAUUCGCGUCGAACUAAUGUUAUUACACUGGCCUGUAAGGCCAAGUGUCUUAAAUCCCCUUUUUUCUGUUUUUUUCGUAGUCGAGAAAUCGAGUUUGCGUUAGCUCAUCGCAGGCUCAGGGUGCAACGAUUAAGCCAAAAUGCCAUCGAUUCCCUCGGUUCCAUGAUUUAGAUAGUAUAGUAAUAAGCUCGUAUAUAUGUACGUAAUAGCCGACUCAUGCCAUGCUUGUGGUACAUUUUUCGUUUAUUAGCCUAUACACUUGUACGCACG